ensembl:rRNA 5S_rRNA 5S ribosomal RNA
UUCUAUGGCCAUAGCACCCAGAGUGCACCUGACCUCAUCUGAUCUCGAAAGCUAAGCAGAGUCAGGCCUGGAGAGCACUAGGCUGGAACAUAUCGCUUUUGUAA